AGCGAACGCUGGCGGCAGGCCUAACACAUGCAAGUCGAACGAACCUUUCGGGGUUUGUGGCGGACGGGUGAGUAACACGUGGGAACGUGCCUUUAGGUUCGGUAUAACUCAGGGAAAGUUGUGUUAAUACAGAAUGUGCUCUUAGGGGGUAAGAUCUAUUGCCUCUGGAGCGGCGCGCGUCUGAUUCGCUAGUUGGUUGAGGUAAUGGCUCAUCACGGCGACGUUGAGUAGCUGGUCGGUGCGGAUGAUCAGACACAUUGGGACUGCGACACGGUCCAAACUCCGACGGAGGGGAGCAGUGGAGAAUCUUACGCGAGGAAGGAAAAUCUAGCACAGCCAUGCGGGGGAAAUGGGGAAGCUCUUAGGAUUGUAAAUUUCUUUGUCCGGGGGCGAUAGUGACGGUACCCGGAGAAGAAGCCCCGGCUAACUACGUG
rnacentral:rRNA from 1 species